UACGGAGGGGGCAAGCGUUGUUCGGAAUUACUGGGCGUAAAGGGCGCGCAGGCGGCUGCUCAAGUCAGGCGUGAAAGCCCCCGGGCUCAACCCCGGGAAUUUGCGCUUGAUACUGUCGUGCUUGAGGCCGGGAGAGGAUGGCGGAAUUCCCAGUGUAGAGGUGAAAUUCGUAGAUAUUGGGAAGAACACCGGUGGCGAAGGCGGCCAUCUGGACCGGUUCUGACGCUGAGGCGCGAAAAGCGUGGGGAGCAAACAGG
rnacentral:rRNA from 1 species